UACAGAGGGUGCGAGCGUUAAUCGGAAUUACUGGGCGUAAAGCGCGCGUAGGCGGCUUUGCAAGUCGGGUGUGAAAUCCCCAGGCUUAACCUGGGAACUGCAUUCGAGACUGCAUUGCUAGAGUAUGGGAGAGGGAAGUGGAAUUUCCGGUGUAGCGGUGAAAUGCGUAGAUAUCGGAAGGAAGACCAGUGGCGAAGGCGGGUCUCUGGACAGUUCCUGACGCUGAGGCACGAAGGCCAGGGGAGCAAACGGG
rnacentral:rRNA from 1 species